rnacentral:rRNA from 1 species
UAAUACGGGGGGGGCAAGCGUUGUUCGGAAUUACUGGGCGUAAAGGGUUCGUAGGUGGCCCGCUAAGUCACACGUGAAAUCCCUCAGCUUAACUGGGGAACUGCGUGUGAGACUGGCAGGCUCGAGUGCAGGAGAGGAACGCGGAAUUCCAGGUGUAGCGGUGAAAUGCGUAGAUAUCUGGAGGAACACCGGUGGCGAAGGCGGCGUUCUGGACUGUAUCUGACACUGAGGAACGAAAGCCAGGGGAGCAAACGGGA